UCCUGUGUAGCGUUUUAAUAGGCAGGCCUCUUCUCUGUCUCUCUCUCUGUCUGAUUGGCUUUUGCGGUGCGACUAAAGAUCCAGUAUCGCUUUCUCUCUCUCUCUCUCCCUCUCUCUACAAGACGAUUCAGAGGUUAGGUUUUUCUACAAAUUGUCAACGCGUUAGCAGCAGGGAAAGAAGAUGGAAGACGAUUCAGACGUAGAUAGAAAGUGUAGAAAGUCUCGACACUUUCUGGAUAGUUUAUUCACUUCAUUGAACUCUUGGAUAAAGUAAAUUAUAAGAUAUUGAGGAGAACUUUUACAUAAAAAAGAUCUCAAAGAUGGAGGACAAUUAGAUUGGAUGGAGAGAUUAUAGUUGAAGAACUGAUGCAACUAGAUAACAUGGAGAGGUGGUGAAAGCUAGAACAUUGUGAGCUUGCUGGACAUGCUUCAGAGAGAAUGUUCAGUCUUGCAAGAUUUUCCAUGAGUUCAUGUUUCCAGGAGUAGUUUUUUUCCCUUCAGAUUUAAUUUUUAGGAUUAAUUCCCUCUACUAUUGAUAUAACAAAGUAGAAUUUCAGAAGUUUUGUCAA